GUCCCUAUCGUCUAGAGGCCAAGGACAUUCCUUUUUCAUGGGAAGGACGGGGGUUCAAAUCCCCCUAGGGAUA
rnacentral:tRNA from 1 species